AUGGCGGGAAGUCGUCGAGGGGUUUCACGCGGAUACGAUUACGCGGUAGGCCCUUGGCCGGAGGAGGGAAGAGGAAUCACACAGCGACGACCGACGAUCAUGGCCGGGAUCGUUUCCUCCUCCACCGCUUUUCUUCUCCUCCUCGUCCUCGUGCCCAAGAACGGGAGCGAGGCCUUGGAGGCGGAGAUGUGCUACUGCUAUCAGAGGAGCGCCGUCGGCGGUGAAACUAACAAGCUGACCAAGACGAUCGCGUUGCUCGCCGUCGGCCCCAUUGAGCUGCAGAUAAAAAAGACGGUCUCGCCGUCGCCGGUGAGCGGCUGCUCGGGCGCAGUGCCGACGCCGUCAAAGCCACCGCCAAUCCCGGCGGACACGCGCGCGCAUACAUCUCCAGCACCGCCUGCUGCAGAUAAAAGUGGCUUCAGCUGGCCGGCCAAAGCAUGGUGCUGCUGGGGACUCGCCGUGGCAACGGUGAUCGUCGCGCUCGCAGUGAGGAACGGAUGGAGUAUGAACCAAGUGCUACUCAGGCCUGAAAUGUUUCUAGUACCAUCGCGCAACGGCGGACCGGUUGACGGCAACGAACAUACUACUCAGGUCCCGACUGGCUCGCGUGAAACUAGGCGAGAAACGUUGAUCAUCGAUAGCAAUGGGAAUUCACGGUUGGGCGGUAACAGUGAGCUCUUCUACUGCCCCAUGUGCAUAACGACGGCGCCCAUCGUCCACAAAUCCAGCUUCGGCUCGUGCGACCACCACGCCUUCUGCUCCAACUGUGUCGCCAAGUACGUCGCUAUGAGGCAGCGCGAGGGCGUUGCUCUUCCCGUCGAAUGCCCCGACUGUGAGGACGAAGACGGCCUCCUCCCCAUGCCCAUGGUGCGGCAUGAAACGCCGCGCAUCAACCACGCCACAGUCGCCGAUGGCAAUGAAGAUUCGCCGGCGGACGGCGACGACGGUAGGCACUUCUACUGCGCCAAGUGCAUGCAUGUGGUGCCAUGCGCAUGUGUACGGCGCAGCUUCACCUCGUGCGCCCACGACUUCUGCUCGCGCUGUGUUUCUCGUCGACUGCAAGGACGGCUCGGCGACGGGAAGCACUUCUACUGCACCAAGUGCAUGCAUGUCGUGCCAUGUGCAUGUAUACGGCCCAGCUUCACCUCGUGCGCCCAUGAUUUCUGCUCGAGCUGUGUUUCUCGUCAACUGCAAGGACUGCGCCGCCGAGCCGGAAAGAUGCCGCAACAUCAGCCCCCCGUGGACAUGGUUCUGUUCACCGAGGGCAAUGGAGAUUCGCCGGUCGACGGCGACGGCGAGCUCUUCGACUGCGCCAUCUGCAUGGAGACGGUGCCCGGCGCCCUCAAGUUCAUCAUCAACUCGUGCGGCCACGCCUUCUGCUCCAGCUGCGUCGCCCAGUACGUGGCCGCGAAGCUGGACGACAAUGUAUGUCCCAUCGAAUGCCCGCAGCCAGGCUGCCAGGACGGCACCAUCGAGCCGGAGAGAUGCCACAGCAUCAUCCCCACGGACCUCCUCGACAAGUGGGGUUUGCUGCUGUGCGAGCUCGCGAUCGGCGCGAAGAGGAUGUACUGCCCGUACCCGGAAUGCUCGGCGCUCUUGCUCGCCGACGACGAGGCCGGGGCGGCGGCCAUCGCGGAGGCGGAGUGCCCGCACUGCCACCGGCUUUUCUGCGCCCGGUGCGCCGUGCCGUGGCACGUCGGCUUCGGGUGCCUGGAGUUCCAGAAGCUCGGGCAGGACGAGCGCGGCCGGGAGGACCUCUUGCUCCGGCGUCUCGUCGGCAGGGAGGGGUGGCAGAGGUGCCCCGAGUGCCAGAUGUUCGUGGAGAAAUCCGAAGGGUGCAAUUACAUCAAAUGCAGGUGUGGAUACAGCUUCUGCUACCGAUGUGCAUCCGAGUUGUCCGCGCAAAACCAUCACUGCAACAACUGCAAGCCCUAA
rnacentral:rRNA from 1 species